GUGGGGAAUCUUCCGCAAUGAACGAAAGUCUGACGGAGCAACGCCGCGUGAGUGAAGAAGGUUUUCGGAUCGUAAAGCUCUUUCGUUAGGGACGAACGUGCUCUUUGUGAAUAAUGAGGAGUAAUGACGGUACCUAAAUAAGAAGCCACGGCUAACUACGUGCCAGCAGCCGCGGUAAUACGUAGGUGGCAAGCGUUGUCCGGAAUUAUUGGGCGUAAAGCGCGCGCAGGCGGGAUAUCAAGUCUGUCUUAAAAGUGCGAGGCUCAACCUCGUGAGGGGACAGAAACUGGUAUUCUUGAGUGUCGGAGAGGAAAGUGGAAUUCCAAGUGUAGCGGUGAAAUGCGUAGAGAUUUGGAAGAACACCAGUGGCGAAGGCGACUUUCUGGACGAUGUCUGACGCUGAGGCGCGAAAGCUAGGGGAGCGAACGGGAUUAGAAACCCCAGUAGUCC
rnacentral:rRNA from 1 species